rnacentral:rRNA from 1 species
UACAGAGGGUGCGAGCGUUAAUCGGAAUUACUGGGCGUAAAGCGCGCGUAGGCGGCUUUGCAAGUCGGGUGUGAAAUCCCCAGGCUUAACCUGGGAACUGCAUUCGAGACUGCAUUGCUAGAGUAUGGGAGAGGGAAGUGGAAUUUCCGGUGGAGCGGUGAAAUGCAUUGAGAUCGGAAAGAACACCAACGGCGAAAGCACUCUGCUGGGCCGACACUGACACUGAGAGACGAAAGCUAGGGGAGCAAAUGGG